CCUACGGGAGGCAGCAGUGGGGAAUCUUGCGCAAUGGGCGAAAGCCUGACGCAGCAACGCCGCGUGCGGGAAGAAGGCUUUCGGGCUGUAAACCGCUUUCAGCAGGAACGAAAAUGACGGUACCUGCAGAAGAAGGAGCGGCCAACUAUGUGCCAGCAGCCGCGGUGAUACAUAGGCUUCAAGCGUUGUCCGGAUUUAUUGGGCGUAAAGAGUUCGUAGGCGGUCGAGUAAGUCGGGUGUGAAAAUUCUGGGCUCAACCCAGAGACGCCACCCGAUACUGCUUGACUUGAGUUCGAUAGGGGAGUGGGGAAUUCCUAGUGUAGCGGUGAAAUGCGCAGAUAUUAGGAGGAACACCGGUGGCGAAGGCGCCACUCUGGAUCGAUACUGACGCUGAGGAACGAAAGCAUGGGUAGCAAACAGGAUUAGAUACCCUGGUAGUCCAUGCCGUAAACGGUGGGCACUAGGUGUGGGUUUCUAUUAACGAAAUCCGCGCCGUCGCUAACGCAUUAAGUGCCCGCCUGGGGAGUCGGUCGCAAGACUAAACUCAAAUGUAAUAGAGNGNGAGAGUUGCGAGCGACGACGAGGGAGAGG
rnacentral:rRNA from 1 species